AAUGCAUCGAAAUUUAAACAUUUGUCACUUUCCCAAUUUGUAAAUUGCUCUUCAAUCUCUUCUUCUUCUUCCUCUUUCUCUUGUUUUUUCUCCUCUUCUUU
rnacentral:ribozyme from 13 species